GACGAACGCUGGCGGCGUGCCUAAUACAUGCAAGUAGAACGCACAGUUUAUACCGUAGCUUGCUACACCAUAGACUGUGAGUUGCGAACGGGUGAGUAACGCGUAGGUAACCUGCCUGGUAGCGGGGGAUAACUAUUGGAAACGAUAGCUAAUACCGUAUAAUAUUAAUUAUUGCAUGAUAAUUAAUUGAAAGGUGCAAUUGCACCACUACCAGAUGGACCUGCGUUGUAUUAGCUAGUAGGUGAGGUAACGGCUCACCUAGGCGACGAUACAUAGCCGAACUGAGAGGGGGAUCGGCCACACUGGGACUGAGAAACGGCCCAGAAUCCUACGGGAGGGAGCAGUAGGGAAUCUUCGGCAAUGGACGAAAGGCUGACCGAGCAACGCCGGGUGAGUGAAGAAGGUUUUCGGAUCGUAAAGCUCUGUUGUAAGAGAAGAACGGGUGUGAGAGUGGAAAGUUCACACUGUGACGGUAUCUUACCAGAAAGGGACGGCUAACUACGUG
rnacentral:rRNA from 1 species